GCCAGUUUGGCUCAGUUGGUAGAGCGUCAGUCCUCAGACUGAAGGGUCGAGAGUUCAAUUCUGUCAAGGGUA
rnacentral:tRNA from 1 species